UACGGGGGGAGCAAGCGUUGUUCGGAUUUACUGGGCGUAAAGGGCGCGUAGGCGGCCACCGCAAGUCGACUGUGAAAUCUCCGGGCUUAACCCGGGAAGGUCAGCCGAUACUGCGGGGCUAGAGUGCAGAAGGGGCAACUGGAAUUCUCGGUGUAGCGGUGAAAUGCGUAGAUAUCGAGAGGAACACCUGCGGCGAAGGCGGGUUGCUGGGCUGACACUGACGCUGAGGCGCGAAGGCUAGGGGAGCGAACGGG
rnacentral:rRNA from 1 species